rnacentral:rRNA from 1 species
AUUGAACGCUGGCGGCAGGCCUAACACAUGCAAGUCGAACGAGUGGCGGACGGGUGAGUAAUGUCUGGGAAACUGCCUGAUGGCGGGGGAUAACUACUGGAAACGGUAGCUCAUACCGCAUACCAUCAGAUGUGCCCCGAUGGGAUUAGCUUGUGGGGGGGGUAACGGCGCACCAAGGCGACGAUACCUAGCUGGUGUGAGAGGAUGACCGGCCACACGGGAACUGAGACACGGUCCAGCGUCCUACGGGAGGCAGCGUUGGGGAAUAUUGCACAAUGGGCGCAAGCCUGAUGCAGCCAUGCCGCGUGUAUGAAGAAGGCCUUCGGGUUGUAAAGUACUUUCAGCGGGGAGGCGUUACCCGCAGAAGAAGCACCGGCUAACUCCGUGCCAGCAGCCGCGGUAAUUC